rnacentral:rRNA from 1 species
GACGAACGCUGGCGGCGUGCUUAACACAUGCAAGUCGAGCGGUAAGGCCCUUUGGGGUACACGAGCGGCGAACGGGUGAGUAACACGUGAGUAAUCUGCCUUUGGCUUGGGAAUAACUUCGGGAAAUCGGGGCUAAUGCCUGAUGUUUACUGUCUGCUGCAUGGUGGGUGGUGGAAAGAUUUUUUGGCCGAGGAGUGAGCUCGCGGUCUAUCAGCUUG